rnacentral:rRNA from 1 species
GACAGAGGAGGCGAGCGUUGUCCGGAGUCAAUGGGCGUAAAGCGCGCGCAGGCGGCAACCUAAGUGUCGUGUGAAAGCCCCCGGCUCAACCGGGGGAGGCCAUGGCAAACUGGGUCGCUCGAGCUGCGGAGAGGCUCCUCGAAUUGCCGGUGUAGCGGUGAAAUGCGUAGAGAUCGGCAGGAAGACCAAGGGGGAAGCCAGGGGGCUGGCCGCAGGCUGACGCUGAGGCGCGACAGCGUGGGGAGCAAACCGG